CUUGGUGACUUUAGCGGCGGGGGUACACCCGGUCACAUCCCGAACCCGGAAGUUAAGCCUGCCAGCGCCGAUGGUACUGCCGGGGCGACCCGGUGGGAGAGUAGGUCGUUGCCAAGG
rnacentral:rRNA from 1 species